rnacentral:rRNA from 1 species
AUGCAUCUCCGUUGGCCACUUCCUGGCGAUGAUCUCCUUAUCCAUGAUGGGAGGGAGUGGCUAAUAUCACUGCUGUCGAAAUGCUCGACGGAGGUCCAGGAUAUGCUGAUUAUGUUCUUCUGGCGGAUUUGGCAGUUGCGUAAUGAUUUGACCAACGGGAAGGAGGUGCCUUCUGUGCCAGCCACCGUCGAAUUUUUGGACAGUUACUACAAGUCCAUAAGACUCGUUGCACGUUACUCUACGGAGGAGAUCAUUAAAGGGAAGAUGUCGACCUCGGCGGUGGCGUUGCCAGUCUCAGGUGUCAAGCCGCCGGCAGAUCCCUGGCCGGCGCCGCCGCUUGGCAGGCUGGUGCUGUCAGUCGAAGGCUCCUUUCUGCAUGAGGAUGGCUCUGCGGGCGUCGGUAUGGUGCUCCGGAACGACAGAGGCGAGGUCCUAAUGGCAGCUUACCGGUUCAUCUUCUACUGCAAUGACCCACUUGAGGCAGAAUUGCAUGCGAUCAUGCAGGGGUUGGCCCUAGCAUUACAACACUCUGAUUUACCGGUGGUGGUUCAAACGGACUCCUCUGAAGCAUUGUCUAGCUUGACAAAUGAUGCACUUCUUCGCUUGGCCUAUGGACAGAUCAUCUUGGAGAUCAAGUCACUCUUAGAUAGUAGGGAGUUUUUUUCUCAAAAGAUUAGUAGACUUCAAAAUAGAGUUGCCGAUCGGUUGGCUAAGUAUAGCCGCACCGAGCGAGCCACGGCUGUUUGGCUUGGCUCGGUUCCACCAUGUAUCGAGGAUUUAUGGCCUCUCGACUGUAACUCUAUACCUAUGCAAUAA